AGCGAACGCUGGCGGCAGGCCUAAUACAUGCAAGUCGAACGAACUCUUCGGAGUUAGUGGCGGACGGGUGAGUAACACGUGGGAACGUGCCUUUAGGUUCGGAAUAACUCAGGGAAACUUGGGCUAAUACCGAAUGUGCCCUUCGGGGGAAAGAUUUAUCGCCGUUAGAGCGGCCCGCGUCUGAUUAGCUAGUUGGUAAGGGAACGGCUCACCAAGGCGCAGCUCAGGAGCUGGUCUGAGGGGAUGGCCAGCCCCACUGGGACUGAGACACGGCCCAAACUCCUACGGGAGGGAGCGACGGGGAAUCUGGCGCAAUGGGCGAAAGCCUGACGCAGCCAUGCCUCGUGAAUGAUGAAGUUCUUAUGAUUUUAAAAUUCUUUCACCGGGGACGAUAAUGACGGUACCCGGAGAAGAAGCCCCGGCUAACUUCGUGCCAGCAGCCGCAGUAA
rnacentral:rRNA from 1 species